GCGGGAGUAGUUCAGCGGUAGAACACCACCUUGCCAAGGUGGGGGUCGCGGGUUCGAAUCCCGUCUCCCGCU
rfam:Salimicrobium flavidum strain DSM 23127 genome assembly, contig: Ga0111645_122